AAGAUAUUUACAAACUUAAGCUUCUAACUUAAACCCCCCCACGAAUAUCUUA
rnacentral:tRNA from 1 species